AUCGCUUCUCGGGCUUUUGGCUAAGAUCAAGUGUAGUAUCUGUUCUUAUCAGUUUAACAUUUUCCCCUGGAUACUCCACCACAUCCAUGAAAAUAGUUUCAGCAAAGGUAAAUACACAUGCACAAAUAUCCUGUGUCAAAUAUAUGUGUGGUGUGUACGUGGAUGAGUGUGUGUGUGUGUGUGUACUCUCU